rnacentral:rRNA from 1 species
AUGGGAUGUGGGUCGAGCAGCGGUUCCAUUACUGUCAACCCAGAUUGUCGAGGAGCGCAAGCAAAUCAGCCUAUGCGCGUCAUUGCUCUCCUUCGGGCCCUGCCCACGUCGGCGGCCUCGGACACGCCGGACGCGGCCUCAUCCGGAGUUCCGAACAGGGAGUUUGGGUUCCGAUGGGAGGAUAUCGGGAAGGAGCAGCUCACCGGGACGGUGGUCUUGCACGAGCGCCGCGUGUUCCUCUACUGCAAGGGCCCUGAGGAGCGCCGAGUCCGACCACCUCCCCCACCUCCUUGCUGCCGCCAUCAAUGCCCGCAAGCCCAACCUGAAGAAGAGAGAGCAGAGCUUUGCAUCGGACCUUUGCCUGCUGAUAUAUGGCCGCAACCAGCAGUAUCCAAGACAGGUGGCCGCCUUUUGUACCAUGUUCACAAGGAAUUGGUGCUCUGA